AGAGUUUGAUCAUGGCUCAGGAUGAACGCUAGCUACAGGCUUAACACAUGCAAGUCGAGGGGCAGCAUGGUCUUAGCUUGCUAAGGCCGAUGGCGACCGGCGCACGGGUGAGUAACACGUAUCCAACCUGCCGUCUACUCUUGGACAGCCUUCUGAAAGGAAGAUUAAUACAAGAUGGCAUCAUGAGUCCGCAUGUUCACAUGAUUAAAGGUAUUCCGGUAGACGAUGGGGAUGCGUUCCAUUAGAUAGUAGGCGGGGUAACGGCCCACCUAGUCUUCGAUGGAUAGGGGUUCUGAGAGGAAGGUCCCCCACAUUGGAACUGAGACACGGUCCAAACUCCUACGGGAGGCAGCAGUGAGGAAUAUUGGUCAAUGGGCGAGAGCCUGAACCAGCCAAGUAGCGUGAAGGAUGACUGCCCUAUGGGUUGUAAACUUCUUUUAUAAAGGAAUAAAGUCGGGUAUGCAUACCCGUUUGCACGUACUUUAUGAAUAAGGAUCGGCUAACUCCGUGCCAGCAGCCGCGGUAAUACGGAGGAUCCGAGCGUUAUCCGGAUUUAUUGGGUUUAAAGGGAGCGUAGAUGGAUGUUUAAGUCAGUUGUGAAAGUUUGCGGCUCAACCGUAAAAUUGCAGUUGAUACUGGAUAUCUUGAGUGCAGUUGAGGCAGGCGGAAUUCGUGGUGUAGCGGUGAAAUGCUUAGAUAUCACGAAGAACUCCGAUUGCGAAGGCAGCCUGCUAAGCUGCAACUGACAUUGAGGCUCGAAAGUGUGGGUAUCAAACAGGAUUAGAUACCCUGGUAGUCCACACGGUAAACGAUGAAUACUCGCUGUUUGCGAUAUACAGCAAGCGGCCAAGCGAAAGCGUUAAGUAUUCCACCUGGGGAGUACGCCGGCAACGGUGAAACUCAAAGGAAUUGACGGGGGCCCGCACAAGCGGAGGAACAUGUGGUUUAAUUCGAUGAUACGCGAGGAACCUUACCCGGGCUUAAAUUGCAGAUGAAUUACGGUGAAAGCCGUAAGCCGCAAGGCAUCUGUGAAGGUGCUGCAUGGUUGUCGUCAGCUCGUGCCGUGAGGUGUCGGCUUAAGUGCCAUAACGAGCGCAACCCUUGUUGUCAGUUACUAACAGGUCAUGCUGAGGACUCUGACAAGACUGCCAUCGUAAGAUGUGAGGAAGGUGGGGAUGACGUCAAAUCAGCACGGCCCUUACGUCCGGGGCUACACACGUGUUACAAUGGGGGGUACAGAGGGCCGCUACCACGCGAGUGGAUGCCAAUCCCAAAAACCUCUCUCAGUUCGGACUGGAGUCUGCAACCCGACUCCACGAAGCUGGAUUCGCUAGUAAUCGCGCAUCAGCCACGGCGCGGUGAAUACGUUCCCGGGCCUUGUACACGCCGCCCGUCAAGCCAUGGGAGCCGGGGGUACCUGAAGUGCGUAACCGCGAGGAGCGCCCUAGGGUAAAACUGGUGACUGGGGCUAAGUCGUAACAAGGUA
rnacentral:rRNA from 1 species